CUGUCACUAACGUUCUCAACAUUGAUAUUUAGACAAAAUGAAUCAUAUAUCCAGCUACAAAAAAGCAUGAAAGUCGAGAAAGUUAGAACCGAAGUACAGAGAGUUGUUGCUAUGGAGAAGAUACGCCGUCUCGUCUCAUUGGUGGAACAUGUCAGCGUUCACAACGCA